CUGGGUCACUCCUCUCUGCAAAGGCCACAAUAUGGAUUCCGUUCAAAUCAUCUUCCUGUGGGAGAGAAGAAUCAAAGUUACUCUCUUGGGUGGAAAGAUACCAGAGAGUGAGUCCCGUACAGACUCAGAGGCUGGAAUGGAAAUGGGAGGCGGUGGAGCGGGAUGGACGCAGGCGCACACAUUCAGGAAGGGAAUACCGAUGAGCCGCGGGGAAGACUGUGUGGAGUUUAAUCAGUGGGUUUGCAACACAGGAAAACACCAACCACACACAGACAUUAGCAUGAAAAGGGCCUCACUUCUGUGGGCUGGAGGAUCCAGGAGAGCAGCAGUAAAAGGCAAAAUGAGGAAGAAUGUGAGUUUGGUUCAUCAGGAGCUCUGAGAGCCACAAAGCAUUCUGGACACAGCUCCGUGAGUGCGUGUGUCGGUCUGUUUCAAGAAUUCACCGCCAGCAAAUAUAAUCAGCGUUAUACCAGAUUAUAGAAACUUGCAAAUGCUGCUAACAGAUCCCGAAACUGUCCUCAAACAGGUCUGAGAUGGCCCCUGGAUGAAGAACCAUAACCCAGAGAAAGAGCCUCUUUCUUUAUGGAUCUCAAAGAUUCAGCACACAAACCUGUAUUGAAUACCUGCAAAGAGGCAGUUGCUUCUCAGUGCCAGGCUUGCAGAAGAUGUUGCCAAUGCUGGUCAGUGACUCUUCCUUAAGUCGAAAGAGGCCAAGGAGGAGCUUUUAGGCCAAGUGUCUGAGCACCAGAUCCCCCAAAGAAGUGGAAAUUUGGGAGUUACUUUGAUGACUACCUUAGUGUAGAUUUGCUAGCACUUUAUAUGUCCCUGUGUCAUCGCAGCAAACAUACUGGUGUUCUAUUAUUAUUGGGACUGUUUCAUCUACUCAACCCUGAAUUCCUAAGGACAGGACAGCAGUGCUUAUUUUUAAUACGUGAUUAGCACAAUGUAAUAGGUUCUGCUUAAUGUCUGUUGAUUUUUUUUUUUAAAGAGUAUAGUGAUAAAAAUCUUACAUACCUCUUGAAGAAAAUUAGCAAAUACUAGAGAUACCAAGGAGAAGUAAAACAUCAGUUACCCACCAAUCAGAUAUUACCAUUGUUCAUAUGUAACUCUGUUUCCUUCCUGUCUCUGUUGAAUGUUUGCUGUCAAGUUGAAUGAAGAGAUGCAAAGAGAAGAAAAAUAGUUGCAACUGUUAGAUUCCCUAAGGGACAGUCAGUGAUGUAGGGGCUCACUGAAGCAGGUCUCUGGCCCCCUCUGGGAACGACUUUCCUAUUGCAAUCAAGGGAAGAUUCUUUCAGAAAGAACCUCCGAGUCCAAUUUCUGUGGGCUUUUGCGAAGGACCGUGGCUGACAACUGGCCAGGGUGGAGGGCUGGUGGGGAGGUGGAGUCUCAAAGCAGAGGGACAAGUCAGCAUUGAGUCUGGACAUUCUUUGAAUAUUGUAAAUAAAUAAAUAGCUGUCUGAUUUACACACAGCAAAUAUUGCUACAUACCAGUAUUUUGGGAAUAGUAAUUUAUAUUUUCUGUGGUUUGCUGCUGUAAAAACCUGUACAAUUGGGGAGAGAAGCCAGUCAAUGGUUGCUUUAGCCCUACCUAGUUUUUCUAUUUUAUUUAAAUCUCUUGCAAUGUCUAAGCAAGUGGGUAUUGAAGAUCAAGAUUCUGAAGUUCAUGAAUUGGUCACUUUCCCUAGCCUGUGCGGUGUAAGUUGCUGUGGCCAAGUAGGCCCUGAAAAUGGGUACAUGUGGAUGGGAUAGGGACCGAGUGGCUUCCCCGAGGUCCUUCUGACUGUCUGAUUUCUGCUCCUCUUUCAGGAUGCGAAGA